GAUGAACGCUGGCGGCAUGCCUAAGACAUGCAAGUCGAACGAAGUGGCCCAUUGAAAGUGGAGUGCUUGCACAAAGCUGGAUUUGGAUUCCCACUUAGUGGCAGACGGGUGAGUAACACGUGGGUAACCUACCCUAGAGACUGGGAUAACUAUUGGAAACGAUAGCUAAUACCGGAUAAUAUAUAUUUAGAUAACUAGAUAUAUUAAAAGGAGCGUUUGCUUUACUCUAGGAUGGGCUUGCGGUGUAUUAGCUAGUUGGUAGGGUAAUGGCCUACCAAGGCAACGAUGCAUAUCCGAGCUGAGAGGCUGAUCGGACACACUGGGACUGAGACACGGCCCAG
rnacentral:rRNA from 1 species